rnacentral:ncRNA from 1 species
UAAAAGGUAACGAUGAAGAGGAGUAUAAAAGACCGGGCUACAGAGAGGAGAAUCCAAGGCUGUGAGAUUUUCCGUCAAAGGCUUUUAGAAGGUAGCUUCUGAACCGCCUUGCUGAACAUAUAGUAAGCAAGGACGCAAAUGCGUUAAAAUUGGAGUUGGGUUAUAAACCAAUUAGGGUGGAACCGCGGUAGAUAUCGUCCCUUGC